rnacentral:rRNA from 1 species
CCUACGGGUGGCAGCAGUAGGGAAUAUUGCUCAAUGGGGGAAACCCUGAAGCAGCAACGCCGCGUGGAGGAUGAAGGUUUUCGGAUUGUAAACUCCUUUUGGUAGAGAAGAUAAUGACGGUAUCUAACGAAUAAGCAGCGGCUAACUCCGUGCCAGCAGCCGCGGUAAUACGGAGGGUGCAAGCGUUACUCGGAAUCACUGGGCGUAAAGAGCGCGUAGGCGGGGUAGCAAGUCAGAUGUGAAAACCUAUGGCUUAACCAUAGAACUGCAUUUGAAACUGGUAAUCUAGAGUAUGGGGGAGGUAAGUGGAAAUCUUGGUGGAGGGGUAAAAUCCGUAGAGAUCAAG